rnacentral:rRNA from 1 species
AGAGCGAACGCUGGCGGCAGGCCUAACACAUGCAAGUCGAGCGCUCGUAGCAAUACGAGAGCGGCAGACGGGAGAGUAACACGUGGGAACGUACCCUUUGGUUCGGAACAACACAGGGAAACUUGUGCUAAUACCGAAUAAGCCCUUACGGGGAAAGAUUUAUCGCCAAAGGAUCGGCCCGCGUCUGAUUAGCUAGUUGGUGGGGUAAUGGCUCACCAAGGCGACGAUCAGUAGCUGGUCUGAGAGGAUGACCAGCCUCAUUGGGACUGAGACACGGCCCAAACUCCUACGGGAGGCAGCAGUGGGGAAUAUUGGACAAUGGGCGCAAGCCUGAUCCAGCCAUGCCGCGUGGAUGAUGAAGGCCUUAGGGUUGUAAAGUCCUUUUAACGGGGAAGAUAAUGACGGUACCCGUAGAAUAACGCCCCGGCUAACUUCGCGCCAGCAGCCGC